GGAGUUGUGGCUCAGUGGCAGAGCACUUGCCUAGCAUGCAUGAGGCACUGAGUUCAAUCCCCAGCACCA
rnacentral:tRNA from 1 species